AUAUCAAUGAGCGGAGGAAAAGAAACUAACAAGGAUUCCCCUAGUAACUGCGAGUGAAGCGGGAAGAGCUCAAAUUUAAAAUCUGGCGUGCCUCUGGUCGUCCGAGUUGUAGCCUGGAGAAGCGUUUUCCGUGUUGGACCGUGUAUAAGUCCCUUGGAACAGGGCGUCAUAGAGGGUGAGAAUCCCGUCUUUGACACGGACUACCAAUGCUUUGUGAUGCGCUCUCAAAGAGUCGAGUUGAUUUGGGAAUGAGCA
rnacentral:rRNA from 1 species